CUGGGGCAGUGCUGGUGAAAAGUGCACUGUGUCUGGUGUGUGGAACUGCGCUGGUGUAAAGUGCUCAGUGUUUGGUAUGUGAAGCUGCACUGGUGUAAAGUGCUCUGCUUAGUGUGUGGAGCUGUGCUGGUGUAAAGUGCUCUGUGUUUGGUGUGUCUGGUGUAUUGAGCUAUGCUGGUGUAAAGUGCUCUGUGUUUGGUGUGUGGAGCUGUGCUGGUGUAAAGUGCUCUGUGUUUGGUGUGCUCGGUGUGUGGAGCUGCACUGGUAUUAAGUGCUCUGUGUUUGGUGUGUGGAGCUGUGCUGGUGUAAAGUGCUCUGUGUUUGGUGUGUCUGGUGUAUUGAGCUAUGCUGGUGUAAA